GGCCCUUUCUGACUGCUGUUAGCCCAACAUGGAUGCCUGGGACCAGCCUCCCGCCCUCACCUGAGGAAGUUUAAGGUUGAUGGUUGAAACGUUUCAGGAAGCUUUCUCGUCGCAUGACACCGACCCCUGGUUUAUCUCAAGGUUGCACGCAUGUGUGCUCAGUUGUUAAGUUGUGUCUAACUCUUGUGGCCCCACGAGCUACAGCCUACCAGGCUCCUCUGUCCAUGGGAUUUCCCAGGCAGGAAUACUGGAGCAGGUUGCAUUUCCCUUCUCCAGGGAUUCUCAAUCCUGACCAGGGAUUGAACCCACAUGCCCUGCAUUGGCAGGCAGAUUCUUUUACCUCCAGUGCCACCUGGCAAGUCCCAUCUCCAGAUCUUCCCGACCCAGGGAUCCAACUCGUGUCUCCUGCACUGGCAGAUAGAUUCGUUACCACUUGUGCCACCAGGGAAGCUAGAAGAAGGUGUCAUUUAUAAAAAGGAGUCUAAAGGAUCCCCUUACAAAGGAGAAUGGAUGGACUUAUGAAGGACUCCUGUGUGGCUGAGCUUGGCUCUCAGAACUUCCUUUAUCAUCAGUCAGUUGUUUGGACCGGUGGGAAGAUAGAGCCUUGAGAAGCUGCUCCAGAACUAAACAGGUCCAACUUCAGUGUCCUACCUUUCCAAAGGGAGACAGAAGUGGAUGGUUCAGGAGGUCAGAUGCCCCCAGAAGAAGAAUGAAAAAGUGGCCUGCCUGACCUGGCGUGGCCGGAGAUGGCCUUGCCAUUCAGAUAGAAGGCCACGCCAGCCUCCCCAUCUGCAAGCGCAGAGGCUUGCCAGCUCAUCUUUCCUUUUGCUGCUGUUUAGUCCCUAAGUCGUGCCCGACUCUUUUGUGACCCUAUGGACUGUAGCCCGCCAGGCUCCUUUGUCCAUGGAAUUCUCUGGGCAAGAACACUGGAAUGGGUUGCUGUUUCCUUCUCCAGGGGAUCUUCCCAACCCAGGAACUGAACCCGCGUCUCCUGUGUUGGCAGGCGUAUUCCUUACCACUGAACCACAGGGGAAGCCCAAAUUUUUCCUUUAGUUCUGACCUAAUUAAUGUAUGGUUUGUGUCCUUAGGUCCAUAGUCAAU
ensembl:lncRNA